AAACUUUAGACAUUGGGGGACAAAUCCAAUAUUUCAUUAGUACUUAGGUCCUACCACAAAAUUUCUGAGGUUGAUUACAGUGUCUUGGGGGCAUUUUGCUUGCUUUUCCUCUACUGAUGAGCUUCUCUGGACCAAAAGUUUUGGAGUCACCACUAGUGUUUAUGGGGCCAUCAUUAGUGACCUUCUGGGAAGAGAAGUAUUGAGAUUGAUUUUCAUUCGAGGGCCGGGAGAUGCAUCAUCUCAAAUGUUCUCUGAUCCCCCUUCUUAGAGCUGAGCCUGCUGUUCUGGGGGCAGAUCUGGAUGUGCCCUGUGGAGGCUGCAGUUGGUAAAUAUAUAGCAUUUGCCUCCUGCUGAAGCAAGAAAAGAUUUGCAAAGUGGAAAAGGGAAGGUAGGGAGAGGCAGAGCUUCAGAAACUUUCUUCCUCAGAAAUCCAUGUACUGAAAAGUCAAUUUAAUGCCACACGUCUGGAGAAACUGAUCACCUGUGUGUGACUUCCUCGUAAGGACUAAAAAAACCAGUGGGAAAUAACUGACAGAAUUGAUGGUGAAAACUGGUGAUCUCUACAUCGUAACAGUUUAUCUUCCCAGAAAGGAGAAAGGAACAAUUUGAUAACAUUAAAGACUUCUCGGACUUAAAAAAAUGGGAAUUUGGUAUCAAACACAUUUGGGAAAUGCUGCAGACUAUACCCACCUAAUGCUCAUUAGACUAUGGAAAGAAAAGUUCUGGGGCAGGAAAUCCAUAGAACUAGAGAGAGGAGGUGAUGUUACCCUGUAGGGGAUGUGGCCAUGUUUGAAGACAUUUUUGGUUAUUACAACCAAGGGGAUAUACUAUUGGCAUCCAGUGGGUAGAGGUUAAGGUUGCUGCUAAACAUCUUCCAAGGCACAGACCAGCCCCCCCAGCUAAGAAUUACCUGAUAUCAUAUGUCAACAGUGCUGAGCCUGGGAUAUCCUGAUUCAUACCUUUUUAUAACCCAUGAAAUACUUGCUGUAUCACUGCCUUAGUCUUCAGUCAAAAACACAAUCUGCUACUUUCCUGAUAAAAUGCACACUAGGGGUUCAUCCUAUUUUUUAAAAAAAUAUCUGAAGGAAAACUUAAAUAUUUAACUCUGACACCAUUUCCUCGAUCUAGCUGGACCAUUACAUACACGCAUUCUAUCAUGGAUGAGGGAAACAUGGACUGCUUGAAACACAAGGCGAAAAGCAACAAAUACAUACGACCUGUCAGGCUGUUACAACAAUUUUAAUGCAUGAACACGUUGGAGUAGCCCUUGUUUUCUAGAAGCACCCAUCGUCAUUGAUGUCCUUCUUUCUAAAGUUGGUCACUCUUGCUGAACUUGCCAUGCAGAAUGUCUGUGGAUUAUACUGGACACAUUUGUAUACAUUUGUAACAACCUCCCACUCCCCCCUCCAGAAAAAGGAUGAGGGACACUGAUUGUGGAUUUGCACAUUCAGUCUGGUAAGGCAACUUUGAGAUCUCAUACUUUCAGCUCAGCCUUGAAAAUCUUUGACUGACCUUGAUGGCUUCCUGGAAUCCCACAUAAUAUUUAAUGGGAAAUUCAGUUCUCCAGAGAAAACUGUUUUCUGAUAGCUAAGCAGCAUCGUUCCAUGGGGCUUGUAACUGUGACCUCAACUUUGACUUUUGAUUAGGAAUCCUCCUUCUCCUCACCAGAUGUCUCUUCAGGCCUUCUCAACCUUGGCACUAUUUCAACAUUUUGGCACCUCCUCUCUGACAUCAUGUCCCUGACCCACCACCACUAAGGGGUUCCUGGAUAUUUCACAGCUGAUGACGAGAGGGAAAUCAUGAUUUCACCAACAGAGUUCAAACUGCAAUGAAAUACUUCCCAAACCAUAGCCAAGUCUUGUCCUACCCCUGCCAUGUGGACGGAGGAAUACAGGGGACAACGAUGGCUGAAGACAGGAACAGAACCCAAAGCUGUAGACUGUCCUACCAAUGGGAACAGAGGAGACUCAGUGUUGCCCCAAGAAGAGCUUAGUUUUAGCUCAAGAAACAGUUUGGAAGACAUCUCAUUGCAUUUGAUGGCUUUUAUUUCAAACAAAGAGCUUUCAGUGGCUCAGUGAAGAAUAUGAAAAGCUGCCUUCCUGAAACUUCCUUCAAAGAGGGAAUGAUCUCCUGGAAUUCAAGCUUCUACAAGGUGACUACCUGGUGUUUCCCAUUUUUGUCUUCUCCUAAAAAGCAUCAAUCAAGCCUUGCCCUUUCAGCCCACUGAACACAUAAACACUCUUUCUCCUUAACUGAACUUACUGCCACGAUGAACUUGAACUCUAAGACGCACAAGAGGAGAGUUGUUUUAACAGCUGCUUUUACACGGAGGCCCUGGAGUUACUACUCUCAAGACAGCUGGUUCUGAUAAGCCUCUCUUUGCACUGUCCUGUUUUUUCUAAUGCCCAGCUGUCAGAAAACACCCACUGCAGUGUUCCAAAGCAAAGGCACAAAGCAGAAGAAAGGCAGGAGAAUGGUACUCACUUGGAUAUAAGGGCAUCCUACUUAGGGACCCUUUUUACAAGCUGGCAUAGGGUUUUUCUCUCCUAUUUACUUUAAUAAGUUUAGUAAUUUCUUGGCUAGUUGAGUAUUAAUUGCUUAAGAUGUACUGUUGUCUGAGGUUGCCCUGUCCAAUAUGGUAGCCACCAGCCACAGGUGGCUAUUUAAAUGUAGAGUAAUUAAAAUUAAAUACAAUGUAAAGUGCGGUCUCCCUGUUGCACUUGGCCACGUUUCAAGGGCUCUGUAUUAGCCACAUGGGUCUAGUAGGUUCCAUAGUGGAAAGCAAAAAUAGAAAACAUUUCCAUCAUUGUAGAAACUUACUGGACUGCAUUGGCCAAGGCAUAUCCUCUUUCUAACAGGAGAAAGGGGAUGCAGAUCUGCCUACGCAUAAUGGUUUUGUAGGCUCGGCCUGUAUUGAUUACUUUCCAUACUACUUUCUGUACACUCUCUUUUUUUUUU